GAUGAACGCUAGCGGGAGGCUUAACACAUGCAAGUCGAGGGGUAGCAGGAGUAGCAAUACUUGCUGACGACCGGCGCACGGGUGAGUAACACGUAUGCAACCUGCCCUAUACAGGAGGAUAGCCCGGAGAAAUUCGGAUUAAUACUCCAUAAGACAUUAGAAUCGCAUGAUUUAGAUGUUAAAGUUACGACGGUAUAGGAUGGGCAUGCGCCCCAUUAGCUAGUUGGUGAGGUAACGGCUCACCAAGGCAACGAUGGGUAUGGGGGUCUAAAAGGAUGGUCCCACACACUGGCACUGAGACACGGGCCAGACUCCUACGGGAGGCAGCAGUGAGGAAUAUUGGUCAAUGGGCGGAAGCCUGAACCAGCCAUCCCGCGUGCAGGAUGACAGCCCUAGAGGUUGUAAACUGCUUUCUUCAGGAAGAAUAAGAACUACGUGUAGUUCGAUGACUGUACUGGGGAAUAAGCAUCGGCUAACUCCGUGCCAG
rnacentral:rRNA from 1 species